rnacentral:snoRNA from 1 species
GCAAUUUAAAGAAGGAGUUGUAUAGUCAGUUCCACAAUGUUGGACAUGAAACGAAGCUUUGUGUCUAUACCUGCAUAUUCCUGGCACUUCUGGACAAUGACUAGGAAGAUUAACCAUGCAAGAAACAGUA